CAAUGUAUACCGAAGUGCUGUGGGUGAUUACUGGGUUGUCUGUUACGUGUUAGGACUCAAUUCUGAGUUAACAAAGGGGGUAGCGAGUGAGUAUAGCUAUUAUCAUUGGCACACAU
rnacentral:sRNA from 1 species